CAUUAAAGGAGUAGAGGACGGUUUGUUCCAUGGUAGUGAUGUUAGUGU
rnacentral:sRNA from 1 species